UACGUAGGGUGCAAGCGUUGUCCGGAAUUAUUGGGCGUAAAGAGCUCGUAGGCGGUCUGUCGCGUCUGCUGUGAAAACCUGGGGCUUAACCCCGGGCCUGCAGUGGGUACGGGCAGACUAGAGUGCGGUAGGGGAGACUGGAAUUCCUGGUGUAGCGGUGAAAUGCGCAGAUAUCAGGAGGAACACCGGUGGCGAAGGCGGGUCUCUGGGCCGUAACUGACGCUGAGGGGCGAAAGCGUGGGGAGCAGACAGG
rnacentral:rRNA from 1 species